UAAACGACGCAUUUUGCUCCUCGUCUGCUUUCCGCCUUUCCAUUUUCUCAAAGUCAUAACUCUCUUCUCUAAGGCGAAGACAAGAAAUUCUAAUCUGCGAUUCUCUUUGUUUCUUCUUCAUUCUCCAACGAAAUCGACACUCCAACCGAAGGUCUUCAUCUGCCUCCUAACUUCGUACAUCGUUGAAAAUCAAGGGCAUAAAAAGAAAACAUCCAUCUACUAGGUCCGGUGGAGUCUCCACUAGAGCUUGAAAGGCGGUCUCAGAUGGGAAUAAGCCGGUAGGAGAAGAGGCAGUUCAUCAAGAGAGUACUCCAGUGAGAGAAACGACUGUAGUUUCACUCUCACUUGAUUCGGAAAGUGAAGACAUGUCUGCUGUAUCAUCCAAGGCAAGGUAACCACCGCAACACCUUGAAUUUUACUUCAAGAGCAUGGAGUUCACAAAGACUUGCAAGAUUCAAACCAAUGCUAUGUGAAGAAGACAGUCGAUAUGAUUAAGAACUUUAAGGAGGAGGUUAAAUGGUUCACAACUCAUCCUCAGUUUUGCCAUUUCUCCCACAUGCCUGAUGAAGAAUACCUGAAGCUCCAAGUAAUGUGCAUGUUACUCAUGCACACCAUUUGUACUGAAGAAAAAGAUGUUGCAUGGUUUGCGGUGAAUGGUGUGCCCAUCCGCUAUUCUAUGAGGGAGCAUGCUAUCAUCUCUGGCUUACACUGCCAUGAGUAUCCGAGGAGAUAUUUGAAGCUCAGGGGUUUUAAGUCAUUACUUCAGUGGGAAACAAAGGAACACCAUAACAGAUGUGGAGCACAAGCUGUUAUCUAUGAAGAAGCCAUAUAAUGAUAAGAUUGUAAGCUGACUGUCUUGUUCUUUUUUGGUGGGGUUAUCAGAGGAAAGCGAAAGGAUUGUGGAGCAGUAAAUCUGUUCAUCUUAAGGAUUGUGGAAGAUUUGGAUGUUUGCAGAAUAUUUUCUUGGGGUCGUCUAAUAUUCGAGGAUGCAAUAAAGAAGAUUAAGCAUAUGGUGAGGCUUUU